ensembl:lncRNA
CUUAGGUAUGCCUUAAUUAUUGUGUCAUGUAACUGCCAGACCAUCCCUGAUAAGGAAGGGAGACGAUGUUUGUUCUGUGUGAAGACUCCAGGAAGGACAUAUGAGAUGAGUGCAUCAGACCAGAAACAGAGAGUGGAGUGGAUUCAAGCUGCGCAGACAGCCAUCCGGCUGAAGACUGAAGGGAAGAGCUCACUGCAUAAGGAGCUGAAGCUGCGCAGGCGGGAGCUGCGGGAGCUCAGCCAGAACAGGCAGAGUGGCCAGCAAAUGCAGAGCAGUGAGAGCGAUGAUGGAGGACAGAGCGACAGCAAUGGCCAGAGUGCCCUGAGAAGAGUGAAUAGCGAGGGUCAACGGAGUGAUGACAGCAGCCAGAGAACACAGAGCAGCCAGAGUGAGCCCAGCCCUAAGGAUGAGUGGUCCAGCUUGGAGACGCAGCAUGAGGAGCUCGACUUGGGGAUUAUAGACAUCAUCCAGCAACACAUGGAAAUGGAAGCCCAGCGUAAAGAUGAGGAGGCCCGUGAAACAGAGAAGCAGAAUCAGAAGCAGCGAGAGCUGGAGAGACAGCUGAAGGAGGCAAAUGCAGCCAAGGAGACCUUAGAGGCUGAACUGGCUAAGAUGCAGAGGGAAGCUAACCAACAGAAGGAGAGGAUCCGAGAGCUAGAGCUCACGCAGCAGAAACUGGAGGAGGUGCUCAACCUGCAGACACAAGCCCGCUUAGAAGAGGAAAGGGCCCGAUGUGAGGUCGAGAGACAGCUGGAAGAGGAGCAGAGGAAGCUGUCUGAGUUGCUGCUACUUCAGAGACGCUUGGAGACUUCUGCUCCUGCAGAAAGGACUCAAGAGGAGGAGAAGCAGACCCUAGAAGAUGUGGAACUCAGACCCUCUCCUGCCUCCAA